rnacentral:misc_RNA from 1 species
GUAGGUGAACCUGCGGAUGGAUCAUUACAGUAUUGGCGCUCCGAAUGUCGGCCACCACAUGUGAACUGUGUGCGGCGCGCAGUUGCGUAGUUGUAAUUGCGGCGAAUGUGCGCAAUGUGCAUUUGCGUAAUUGCAGUUGCAGCCGCAUCGCGCGCGCCGCCUGCUCUACGUAUCGCUAUAAUGACUCGCUGCGCGCAUGCGUGUGCGCAGUGCCAUAACAAUGCAAAACUUUUAGCAACGGAUCUCUAGG